rnacentral:rRNA from 1 species
GACGAACGCUGUCGGCGUGCCUAAUACAUGCAAGUCGAGCGAAGUUUUUCUGGUGCUUGCACUAGAAAAACUUAGCGGCGAACGGGUGAGUAACACGUAAAGAACCUGCCUCAUAGACUGGGACAACUAUUGGAAACGAUAGCUAAUACCGGAUAACAGUAUUUCUCGCAUGAGAGAUAUUUAAAAGUUGGUUAUGCUAACACUAUGAGAUGGCUUUGCGGUGCAUUAGCUAGUUGGUGGGGUAAAGGCCCACCAAGGCGACGAUGCAUAGCCGACCUGAGAGGGUGAUCGGCCAAACUGGGACUGAGACACGGCCCAGACUCCUACGGGAGGCAGCAGUAGGGAAUCUUCCGCAAUGGGCGAAAGCCUGACGGAGCAACGCCGCGUGAGUGAAGAAGGAUUUCGGUUCGUAAAGCUCUGUUGUUAGGGAAGAAUGGAUAUGUAGUAACUAUACAUGUAAGAGACGGUACCUAACCAGAAAGCCACGGCUAACUACGU